UACAGAGGGUGCGAGCGUUAAAUCGGAAUUACUGGGCGUAAAGCGUGCGUAGACGGUUCUGUAAGUCGGAUGUGAAAUCCCCGGGCUCAACCUGGGAAUUGCAUUCGAGACUGCAAAGCCUGGGUGCGGAAGAGGGAAGCGGAAUUUCCGGUGUAGCGGUGAAAUGCGUAGAUAUCGGAAGGAACAUCAGUGGCGAAAGCGGCCUCCUGGUCCAGCACCGACGUUCAGGCACGAAAGCGUGGGGAGCAAACAGG
rnacentral:rRNA from 1 species